UCCUUGAGCUCCCUCUAGGGGCCAACAAGUUUUAUAAACAAAAAUAGAGAUUUUUGGAAUUCACCUGAGGGCUUUCCUAAAACUCUUUAAACUCUAGCGUGAGAUUUGGCGAACUAUGGCCCAUGAACCAAGUCCAGCAUACCACCUGUUUUUGAAUGGCCUGUGACAUAAGAAUAGUUUUUACAUUUUUACUUUUUAUUUUUUUCGAGACAGAGUCUCUCUCUGUUGCCCAGUCUGGAGUGUAGUGGCACAAUCUCAGCUCACUGCAACCUCUGCCUCCUGGGUUCAAGUGAUUCUCAUGCUUCAGCCUCCUGAAGCUGGCCUUAUAGGCACAUGCCACCACACCCAGCUAAUUUUUGUAUUUUUAGUAGAGACGGUUUCACCAUGUUGGCCAGGAUGGUGUCGAACUCCUGGCCUCAAGUGAUCCUCCCACUUGGGCCUCCCAAAGUGCUGGGAUUACAUGUGUGGGCCACUGUGCCCAGCCAGUUUUUAAAUUUUUAAAACAUUGGAAAAAAAGAAGACUAUUUUGUGACACAGGAAAAUUUCAUUAAAGUUCACAUUUCAGUGUCAUGAGUGAAGUUUUAUUGAAACACAGCCAUGUUUGGUAAUUUAUGCUCUGUCUGUGGCAUUUUUGUGUGGGAGCAGUAGAGUUGAAUGUUUUGUCUGAGACUUUGUGUUACGAAUCUGCAUGACUUAUAACUGUUGCUAUUGACCUUGGCUACCUGGCUGAGGUAGUGUUUGUCUCCACUGAAGAUUUUCUCUUUUUUUCCUCCUUUACCUGCUGUCCUUUCUGAAAUGAAGUCACUAUGAGCAGACUACACUGAGGAGAGGAGACGUGCGCUCCCCCAUCCUUUUGUUUUUGAAGUUAACGUGUUACCUUCUGUGGUUUUCUGAGGGUUUUUGCCAUGAGUAACAUUGGGAAUAAUAUCAAAAGAAAAGGGUAAAAUUAAAAACGUUAUGUCCCCAGUGGAUUUACUGAUGUGGUCCCUGGACAGUGUUGGCCUCUCACUAAACUAGCUUAAGAACCAGGUGGCAGAAGCAGGAGAAGCGUCCAAGAGCGUCCAGGAGCGUCCAAGAGGGCAGUCAGAUUUAAAACACAGCUAUGUGCUCCCUGAUUUUAUUCUCUGUUUCCAUCUUAUGAAAGUCUAACUGUAGUACUGAGCUUGAAUUUUAUCUUAUAGCAACUGUCAGAAAUCCAGAAGUCCAAUAUGCAGAUCAAGUCCAACAUAGGCACAUUAAAAGAUGCACACGAGUUUAAAGAAGACCGUUCUCCAUAUCCCCAGGAUUUCCAUAAUGUCAUGCAGCUUCUUGAUAGUCAGGUACGUGCAAGUGGGUGACAGCUGCAGUGGAUGCCUUCCUUUUUCUUAGUGAAGUAAUUUACAGUGAGUGUCAUCUGCAGAAAAAGUGUUUGUCUUUUUCAGUAACCAUGAAGGUGACUAGCUGUUAUUUUUCUCCUACAGCAUGCCUAAGUCAUAAGAGGUGUUUGUUACAUGCUUGCUGUUGGCAAAGAGCAUACACAACAGUUGGCAAAACUGUUUUGUUUCUUCUCUCCAUAAAGUCAAUUUGAAUUGGUUAGUAUAACCUAGCUAUUCAUUUUUCAUCUUUCAGAUGUAGCUCUCAAUUUCAAAAGGUGUAGAAGGGCAUAUUGAAGCACCAGAUUUAGUUUUAGAGUUUAAAUAUAUUGCUAACUGUAUUUUUAGUAGAAACGGGGUUUCACCAUAUUGGCCAGGCUGAUCUCGAACUCCUGACCUCAGGUGAUCCGCCCACCUCGGCUCAAUUAGCUGGGCGUGGUGGCAGAUGCCUGUAAUCCCAGCUUCUUGGAGGGCUGAGGCAGGAGAAUUGCUUGAACCCAGGAGGCAGAGGUUGCAGCGAGCUGAGAUCACGCCAUUGCACUCCAGUCUGGGCAACAAGAGUGAUACUCAGUCUCAAAAAAAAAAUAAAUAAACAAACAAAUAAAUAUAUACACACACACACACACACACACACACACAUACGCGCGCGCGCGCACACACACACACACACACACACUG
rnacentral:lncRNA from 1 species